rnacentral:rRNA from 1 species
UACGUAGGGGGCUAGCGUUGUCCGGAUUUAUUGGGCGUAAAGAGCGUGUAGGCGGCCAGGUAGGUCUGCUGUGAAAACUCGAGGCUCAACCUCGAGACGUCGGCGGAAACCAUCUGGCUAGAGUCCGGAAGAGGAGAGUGGAAUUCCUGGUGUAGCGGUGAAAUGCGCAGAUAUCAGGAAGAACACCCAUGGCGAAGGCGGCUCUCUGGAACGGUACUGACGCUGAGACGCGAAAGCGUGGGGAGCGAACAGG